rnacentral:rRNA from 1 species
UUAAACUAGGGAUUAGAUACCCUAUUAUUAAAAUUUAAAUUAAUAAUACUAAAAUAGUAGGUAAUUAUUUAUUGAAACUUAAAUAAUUUGGCGGUAUUUUAGUUCAUUUAGAGGAAUCUGUUUAAUAAUUGAUAAUCCACGAAUAAAUUUACUUAAUUUUUUAUUUUGUAUAUCGUUGUUAUAAAAAUAUUUUUUAAUAAUAAUAAUAUUUAAAAAUUUUGAUUAAAAAUUAAAUCAGAUCAAGAUGCAGAUUAUAAUUAAGAAUAUAAUGGAUUACAAUAAAUUUAUUUAAAUGAAUAUUAAUUUGUAAAAUUUAAUUGAAGGUGGAUUUAAAUGUAA